GGUUCCAUGGUGUAGUGGUUAGCACAUCUGCUUUACACGCAGAAGAUCCUGGGUUCAAUCCCCAAUGGAACCA
rfam:Loxodonta africana unplaced genomic scaffold scaffold_139, whole genome shotgun sequence.